UACGUAGGGUGCAAGCGUUGUCCGGAAUUAUUGGGCGUAAAGAGCUCGUAGGCGGUGUGUCGCGUCGGCCGUGAAAACCUGCAGCUUAACUGUGGGCUUGCGGUCGAUACGGGCAUCACUGGAGUUCGGCAGGGGAGACUGGAAUUCCUGGUGUAGCGGUGAAAUGCGCAGAUAUCAGGAGGAACACCGGUGGCGAAGGCGGGUCUCUGGGCCGAUACUGACGCUGAGGAGCGAAAAGCGUGGGGGAGCGAACAGG
rnacentral:rRNA from 1 species